GUGCUCACUUCAGCAGCACAUAGACUGAAAUUGGAACAAUACACAGAAGAUUAGCAUGACACCUGCUCAAUGAUGUUGUAGAAAUUCAGGAGGCAUUUCCUAUUUUU
rnacentral:snRNA from 1 species